AGUGAACGCUGGCGGUAGGCCUAACACAUGCAAGUCGAACGGCAGCACAGUAAGAGCUUGCUCUUACGGGUGGCGAGCGGCGGACGGGUGAGGAAUGCAUCGGAAUCUACUCUGUCGUGGGGGAUAACGUAGGGAAACUUACGCUAAUACCGCAUACGACCUACGGGUGAAAGCAGGGGAUCUUCGGACCUUGCGCGAUUGAAUGAGCCGAUGCCCGAUUAGCUAGUUGGCGGGGUAAGAGCCCACCAAGGCGACGAUCGGUAGCUGGUCUGAGAGGAUGAUCAGCCACACUGGAACUGAGACACGGUCCAGACUCCUACGGGAGGCAGCAGUGGGG
rnacentral:rRNA from 1 species